AGCUCCAAUAGCGUAUAUUAAAGUUGUUGUGGUUAAAAAGCUCGUAGUUGGAUCUCAACAGACUUGGAUCGGUUUACUUUGUGUAAUACUGAUCCAAAGCUGUGCUUUUGUCGGAGGUUUAGGGGUGCUCUUAACCGAGUGUCUCUGAGUGCCGACAGGUUUACUUUGAAAAAAUUAGGGUGCUUAAAGCGGGCUGUUAUGCUCGAAUAUUUGUGCAUGGAAUAAUAGAAUAGGAUGUUGAUCUUAUUUUGUUGGUUUGCACCGCGAGGUAAUGAUUAAUAGGUACAGUUGGGGGUAUUCGUAUUUAAUUGUCAGAGGUGAAAUUCUUGGAUUUAUGGAAGACGAACUACUGCGAAAGCAUUUACCAAGGAUGUUUUCA
rnacentral:rRNA from 1 species